rnacentral:rRNA from 1 species
CUACGGGGUGCACCAGUGAGGAAUUUUGCGCAAUGGGCGAAAGCCUGACGCAGCAACGCCGCGUGAGUGAUGAAGGCCUUCGGGUCGUAAAGCUCUGUCAAGUGGGAAGAACCUAUGUAAUGUUAAUAUCAUUAUAUACUGACGGUACCACUGAAGGAAGCACCGGCUAGCUCCGUGCCAGCAGCCGCGGUAAUACGGGGGGUGCAAGCGUUAUUCGGAAUCAUUGGGCGUAAAGGGCACGUAGGCGGCCUGGUAAGUCAGAUGUGAAAGCCCGGGGCUUAACCCCGGAAGUGCAUUUGAUACUGUCAGGCUUGAGUAUGGGAGAGGGAAGUGGAAUUCCUGGUGUAGAGGUGAAAUUCGUAGAUAUCAGGAGGAACACCGGUGGCGAAGGCGACUUCCUGGACCAAUACUGACGCUGAGGUGCGAAGGCGUGGGUAGCAAACAGGAUUAGAUACCCGCGUAGUC